UACGUAGGGACCAAGCGUUGUCCGGAAUCAUUGGGCGUAAAGGGCGCGUAGGUGGCCCGGUCAGUCUUUGGUGAAAGCGCGGGGCUCAACCCUGCGUCGGCCAGGGAUACUGCCGCGGCUCGAGCACUGUAGAGGCAGGCGGAAUUCCAGGUGUAGCGGUGGAAUGCGUAGAGAUCCGGAAGAACACCGGUGGCGAAGGCGGCCUGCUGGGCAGUUUUGCUGACACUGAGGCGCGACAGCGUGGGGAGCAAACAGG
rnacentral:rRNA from 1 species